AUUGAACGCUGGCGGCAGGCCUAACACAUGCAAGUCGAACGAGUGGCGGACGGGUGAGGAAUGUCUUGGAACCUGCCCGCUGUACGGGGAUAACUACUGGAAACGGUUGCUAAUACCGCAUACCAUCGGAUGUGCUCAGAUGGGUUGAGCUAGUGGGUGGGGUAACGGCUCACCUAGGCGACGAUGCCUACCUGGUCUGAGAGGAUGACCAGCAACACUGGAACUGGGCCACGGCCGAGACUCCUACGGGAGGCGGCAGGGGGGAAGACGCCGCAAUGGUCGCAACGGGGAUGCAGCCAUGCCGCGUGGUUGAAGAAGGCGUUGCGGACGUAACGGACCGGAAGCUGGGAGUUGGUACUGGCUGACGAAGCAACGGCUAACUCCGUGCCAGCAGCCGCGGUAAUUC
rnacentral:rRNA from 1 species